UCCCUGGUGGUCUAGUGGUUAAGCUGUGGUGCUUUCACCACUGCAGCCCAGGUUCAAUCCCUGGUCUGGGGA
rnacentral:tRNA from 1 species